rnacentral:rRNA from 1 species
AUACGUAGGGGGCGAGCGUUACCCGGAAUCACUGGGCGUAAAGAGCGCGUAGGCGGCUAGGUAAGUCUCUUGUGAAAGCUCCCGGCUUAACUGGGAGAGGUCAAGGGAUACUAUCUAGCUAGAGGGCAGUAGAGGAAGGCGGAAUUCCCGGUGUAGUGGUGAAAUGCGUAGAUAUCGGGAGGAACACCAGUGGCGAAGGCGGCCCUCUGGGCUGUAACUGACGCUGAGGCGCGAAAGCGUGGGGAGCAAACCGGAUUAGAUACCCCGGUAGUCC